ACUUCCGUAGGUGAACCUGCGGAGGGAUCAUUACCGAGUUUACAACUCCCAAACCCCUGUGAACAUACCUAUACGUUGCCUCGGCGGAUCAGCCCGCGCCCCGUAAAACGGGACGGCCCGCCCGAGGACCCUAAACUCUGUUUUUAGUGGAACUUCUGAGUAAAACAAACAAAUAAAUCAAAACUUUCAACAACGGAUCUCUUGGUUCUGGCAUCGAUGAAGAACGCAGCAAAAUGCGAUAAGUAAUGUGAAUUGCAGAAUUCAGUGAAUCAUCGAAUCUUUGAACGCACAUUGCGCCCGCCAGUAUUCUGGCGGGCAUGCCUGUUCGAGCGUCAUUUCAACCCUCAAGCUCAGCUUGGUGUUGGGACUCGCGGUAACCCGCGUUCCCCAAAUCGAUUGGCGGUCACGUCGAGCUUCCAUAGCGUAGUAAUCAUACACCUCGUUACUGGUAAUCGUCGCGGCCACGCCGUAAAACCCCAACUUCUGAAUGUUGACCUCGGAUCAGGUAGGAAUACCCGCUGAACUUAAGCAUAUCAAUAAGCGGAGG
rnacentral:rRNA from 1 species